GAGCGGCGGACGGGUGAGUAAUGUCUGGGAAACUGCCUGAUGGAGGGGGAUAACUACUGGAAACGGUAGCUAAUACCGCAUAAYGUCGCAAGACCAAAGUGGGGGACCUUCGGGCCUCAUGCCAUCAGAUGUGCCCAGAUGGGAUUAGCUAGUAGGUGGGGUAACGGCUCACCUAGGCGACGAUCCCUAGCUGGUCUGAGAGGAUGACCAGCCACACUGGAACUGAGACACGGUCCAGACUCCUACGGGAGGCAGCAGUGGGGAAUAUUGCACAAUGGGCGCAAGCCUGAUGCAGCCAUGCCGCGUGUGUGAAGAAGGCCUUCGGGUUGUAAAGCACUUUCAGCGGGGAGGAAGGCGWURAGGUUAAUAACCUUGGCGAUUGACGUUACCCGCAGAAGAAGCACCGGCUAACUCCGUGCCAGCAGCCGCGGUAUACGGAGGGUGCAAGCGUUAAUCGGAAUUACUGGGCGUAAGCGCACGCAGGCGGUCUGUCAAGUCGGAUGUGAAAUCCCCGGGCUCAACCUGGGAACUGCAUUCGA
rnacentral:rRNA from 1 species